rnacentral:rRNA from 1 species
AGAGUUUGAUCAUGGCUCAGGACGAACGCUGGCGGCGUGCUUAACACAUGCAAGUGGAGCGACGAACCAGGGCUUGCCCUGGGGCAGAGCCGCGAACGGGUGAGUAACACGUGGGUAACGUGCCCCAAUGAUCGGGACAACCCGGGGAAACCCGGGCUAAUACCGAAUGUGCUCCCCUCACACCAGUGAGGGAUGGAAAGGAAGCUUCGGCCUCCGCAUUGGGAUCGGCCCGCGGCCCAUUAGCUUGUUGGUGAGGUAACGGCUCACCAAGGCUGCGAUGGGUAGCUGGUCUGAGAGGACGAUCAGCCACACUGGGACUGAGACACGGCCCAGACUCCUACGGGAGGCAGCAGUGGGGAAUCUUGCGCAAUGCGCGAAAGCGUGACGCAGCAACGCCGCGUGGGGGAAGAAGGCCUUCGGGUUGUAAACCCCUUUCAGGAGGGACGAAGGUUGGGCAGUUAAUAGCUGACCUGACUGACGGUACCUCCAGAAGAAGCCCCGGCUAACUACGUGCCAGCAGCGGCGGUAAUAC